rnacentral:rRNA from 1 species
GACGAACGCUGGCGGCGUGCCUAAUACAUGCAAGUUGAGCGCUGAAGGCUGGUACUUGUACCCACUGGAUGAGCAGCGAACGGGUGAGUAACGCGUGGGGAAUCUGCCUUUGAGCGGGGGACAACAUUUGGAAACGAAUGCUAAUACCGCAUAAAAACUUUAAACACAAGUUUUAAGUUUGAAAGAUGCAGUUGCAUCACUCAAAGAUGAUCCCGCGUUGUAUUAGCUAGUUGGUGAGGUAAAGGCUCACCAAGGCGAUGAUAAAUAGCUGACCUGAGAGGAUGAUCAGCCACAUUGGGACUGAGACACGGCCCAAACUCCUACGGGAGGCAGCAGUGGGGAAGAUUGGAAAAUGGGGGAAACCCUGAGACAGCCAUGCCGCGUGAGUGAUGAAGGCGCUAGGGUUGUAAAGCUCUUUUGUGCGGGAAGAGAAUGACGGUACCGCAAGAAGAAGCCACGGCUAACUUCGUG